rnacentral:rRNA from 1 species
AAUCAACGCUGGCGGCGUGCCUAACACAUGCAAGUCGCGCGACGGAAAGGGGGGCAACUCCCAAGUAGAGCGGCGAACGGGUGAGUAACACGUGGGUAAUCUACCUUCGAGUGGGAACAACACCGGGAAACUGGUGCUAAUUCCGCAUAACAUCGUCGGGGCUUCGGUUCUGACGCUCAAAGCUGGGGAUCGCAAGACCUAGCGCUUGAAGAUGAGCCCGCGUCCGAUUAGCUAGUUGGCGGGUAAUGGCCACCAAGGCUUCGAUCGGUAGCCGGCCUGAGAGGGCGGACGGCCACACUGGAACUGAGACACGGUCCAGACUCCUACGGGAGGCA